AGUCCAUGGUGUGAGCACUUUCUUAGCAUUGUCUUAAAACACUCUCAUGCCUCGUACAGAGAUUCACCUUCAAGUUGUUUAAAGUUUAUGAUCUCCUGCUGGAGCUU
rfam:Gossypium raimondii Chr11_contig_1083, whole genome shotgun sequence.